rnacentral:rRNA from 1 species
UACGUAGGGGGGCAAGCGUUGUCCGGAUUUAUUGGGCGUAAAGAGCGUGUAGGCGGCUUUGCAAGUCCGUUGUGAAAACUCGAGCUCAACCUCGAGACGCCGGUGGAAACUGCAAAGCUAGAGUCCGGAAGAGGAGAGUGGAAUUCCUGGUGUAGCGGUGAAAUGCGCAGAUAUCAGGAGGAACACCAAUGGCGAAGGCAGCUCGCUGGGACGUUACUGACGCUGAGACGCGAAAGCGUGGGGAGCAAACAGG